GGCGCCGUAGCAAAGUUGGCCAAAUGCGCCGGACUUAAGAUCCGGUCCCUUAGUGGGUUCGCAGGUUCAAAUCCUGCCGGCGCCA
rnacentral:tRNA from 1 species